ACGUAGGUGGCAAGCGUUGUCCGGAUUUACUGGGCGUAAAGAGCGCGCAGGCGGUCGAAUAAGUCGAAUGUGAAAGCCCCCGGCUUAACUGGGGAGGGUCAUUCGAUACUGCUCGACUUGAAGGCAGGAGAGGGAAGUGGAAUUCCCGGUGUAGUGGUGAAAUGCGUAGAUAUCAGGAGGAACACCGGUGGCGAAGGCGCUCAUCUGGCCCAAUACUGACGCUGAGGCGCGAAAGCUAGGGGAGCAAACGGGA
rnacentral:rRNA from 1 species